UGGAAUGUAGAGUCACAGAUGUAGGUUGUGCUGCUCUGGCUUCAGCUCUGAGAUCAAACCCCUCACACCUGAGAUAUCUAGAUCUGUCUGUAAAUAAACUAGGAGCGUCAGGAGUGAAGCUGCUCUCUGAUGGACUGAAGGAUCCUCACUGUAAACUGGAGAUACUAGGGUUGAGGGAUUGUGGAGUCACAGAUGAAGGUUGUGCUGCUCUAGCUUCAGCUCUGAGAUCAAACCCCUCACACCUGAGACAUCUGGAUCUGUCUGGAAAUAAACUAGGAGCAUCAGGAGUGAAGCUGCUCUCUGAUGGAUUGAAUGAUCCUCACUGUAAACUAGAGAUACUCUGGUUGUAUAACUGCGGUGUCACAGGUGAAGGUUGUGCUGCUCUGGCUUCAGCUCUGAGAUCAAACCCCUCACACCUGAGAGAACUGAAUCUGAAAGGAAAUAAUCUAAGAGAUUCAGAUGUGAAGCUGCUCUCUGAUCUGAAG